rnacentral:piRNA from 1 species
UCCAAUGUUCUAGGUUCUAUAUCACGCUCU